GACGAACGCUGGCGGUGUGCCUCACACAUGCAAGUCGAGCGGAUUUACUUAGGAGCUUGCUCUUAAGUAAGUUAGCGGCGGACGGGUGAGUAAUACAUAGGAAUCUACCCUAAGGUAGGGGAUAACGGGCUGAAAGGUCCGCUAAUACCCCAUAUGCGUGUUCUCUUCGGAGGAUUCGUGAAAGGAGCAAUUCGCCUUUGGAUGAGCCUGUGCCCGAUUAGCUAGUUGGUAAGGAAAAGCUUACCAAGGCUACGAUCGGUAGUUGGUCUGAGAGGAUGAUCAGCCACAAUGGGACUGAGACACGGCCCAUACUCCUACGGGAGGCAGCAGUGGGGAAUUUUACGCAAUGGGCGAAAGCCUGACGUAGCGACACCGCGUGAGCGAAAGAAGCCUUUUGGGGGUGUAAAGCUCUGUCAGCUAGGAAAGAACACAAUGACGGUA
rnacentral:rRNA from 1 species